CGGGGCGGAUGCUCCCUCUGCCUCCCUCUUAUAAGGAUGCCUGUGAUUGCAUUAGGGCCCACCCUGAUCAUCCCAAAUAAUACCCCCAUCUCAAAAUCCUCCACUCAACCCCUUCUGCAAAGUCCUUUUUUCCCUGCUUGCCGUAUAAGGUAGCACUGGCAGGUUCCAGGGAUUAGGAUGCGGAUAUCUUUGGGGGCAGGGGAGCACUCUUAAGCCUUCCGCCCUCCAGGCAUCUGCCGAGGCAGGUGAGGGCGUAGGCUCGGGGGCUAUUGUGUGAGUCCAGUGAGACGGAGCAUGUAAGCAUGUAAGCUGUCAUCCACGGACCAUUCAACAAAUACUGCUGCGUCUCUGCUCCCGGCUGCGCUGGAGGAGGCAUGUGCAGGCCUGGCAAGGAGGCAAGAGGCGGCUUCUGUCUGCAAACAAAGUGCAUGCAGCAGGCCCAGCUCUAAGCCACACCAUGACCCCCCUCCCCAGUGUUUCCCUGUAACUACACUGCACUGUGAAAGGAACUUUGCAGGUGUCACAAAGGUGACUGAUCAGCAAACCUUAAGAGGAGAUGAUCUGGCUCAGCUGACCUUGUCACAUGAGUCCUUUAAAAGCAGAGCAUUUUCUCUGACUGGUGACAGCAGCUGGGGCCCAAGAGACCCCGGGUGAGAGGGGUAGGCAUGAGGCAGUGCGGUGCAGGGGUCUCAGGGCAAGGCAGUGAGGAGCUAAGAGCCCCCAACCAACACCAGCAAGGACACAGGACCUCAGUCCUACAGCCACAAGGAGCUGGAUUCUGCUGACACCCCCAGAUAAGCCCAGGAGCCUCCAGGCGAGGGCCCGGCCCUGCUGAUACCUUGAGGUCAGCCUUGUGAGACCCUAAGCAGAUAACCCACUGAGCCCACGCAGACUUCUGGCCUCCAGGACUGUGAAACAGCAGACCUUCCAUGGGUACCUUCAGGAUGAAGUCUGAGCUCCCGAUGGUUGGGCAUUCAACGUGGGAAAGAAAAGACAUCGUCUCCAUCAGUUUGGAGAAGAUUGGCUGCAGGGGCCCUGCUAUGUGCUGGGGGCAGCUGAGUCUCACAAGGGACUGAGCUCCCAGGGAAAUGCCUGGACUCCAGAGGCUGCUGUGCAGACCUGUCUGUCCCCCCGAGUCCUAGGGCUCAGGGCCCAUGGAGAUGCCCCUGGGUCAGGGACCACCGAGCAGCCCAGGCACACUGGGAGGACGUCGGCUACGAGGUGACACGGAGCCAGGAGGCUUGGGGGACUGGGGAGCACCAACUUCACUUCCCAAAGCUGAAACACAAGAGACCCCGGGGAUGCAGGCUGUUCCUGGCCUCAGUUUCCUCAUCUGUAGGCGAUCACUGAUGAUAAGCCCCGCUCGGGUAGCACCGGGCUCUGUUCUCAGCGUGUGAUGCGCAUUACAUCGUAAGGUGGGGUAGGUGCUAUUUGUCAGUGCUGUCAAUAGUCAAUAUCACAGUUUCCCAGGCAAGGAGCUGAGGAGACAGGUGUGGCUGGAACAGUGGCUCUCAGGCAGGGGGAGGGGCUGGUGAAUGAGGGCCCUGGUUCUGGCUUUGUGGCUGUGUCCUGGGCUUGCCUCCUGGCACCCCACGUAGCAGCUGGGGACCUGGACCAGAUGGACUGGCUACCUCCUGCCGCCCCAUGUCCUCCUCUGUAAAUCGGGGACAGUGAUGACUGGCCUCAGCCCAAGGCUGGCUCACAGGAGGCAGAGGUUCUGUCCAGGGGAAGUGAGAGGUCCCCACCAUAGCUCAGAUGCUCAACCCCUCCCCACAGCUCUGUGGCAUCAGGUUCAUCUGGGGAAAUGGCGGAAUCCACUCCUGUUUCCCGGCGCUGUGCGUCUAACCCGGGCUUGGCAUCUCUGCAGCUGGCGGCUGUCACAGCUCACUGCAUCCUACCGCCAGGCAUCUGAAACCCAGCCCGGGACGGCGAGAAUUUAGAUGGUGCCAAUUGGCAGGUGGAGCUGAGCACCCAGCAAUGAGCCUCACUUGCACAGAGCCCCGCCUACCCUGCAGCGGGCCCCAGAGUAAUGCAGUAAUAAUAAUAACAAACACGAUGACAGGCAGGAUCUUUGGUGUGUGCGGGAGUCCCUGAAGUUCACUGAGCGCCCUCCACACCUGCUCAUGCCUUGCAUCCAUGCAGGGAAUAGGGUCAGGUGCUACCCUCUUCUCAGAGAGGUUGUGCCAUGGGCCAGAGGUCACACAGCCCGUGAGAGGCAAAGCUGGGCAGAAAUCUGAGGACCCUGAUGCAGAUGCUCGUGCUACUGCUGGGGAAGCUCCUUCUCAGAGCUUCUGUCUUGGGGCACUAGGGUGAGGGCUCUGCUCUGUAGACCAGUCAUUUUAUAUCCCCAAGGCGGAGGCAGGCAGCCCAGGCCAGAACAGGAGCCUCAACUUUGUAGCUGUGUGCCCUGCACGAGUCACAUGGCCCCUCUGAGAUUAAGAUCUACCUUUUUUCUCUGACCAGGUCACCAGCUCCUUGAGUACAGGGAGUGUGCCUUCUCUCCCCAUUCUUCCUGGGCUAGGCACAGAGUAUUGGCAGAACACUCUGUUUAACUGAAGCCGAAUGAAGGCCCCCACUUACCGGGGGCUCUGUGCCUCACGGUGUCACUCAGGUGGUUUACCUGAAUCUUCACAACCAUCCUAGGAGUCACUUCUAUGCAUUCCCUAUUAACAGAUUAAAAAAUCAAACAGGCCCAGAGAGGUUAGGGGACUUGCCCAGGGGCACACAGCUGGCAGUGCACAGCUGAGAUUUGAACUUGGAUCUGUCCCUCCUUAGCCCCCGCCCUAAGCCUCUACUCCUGACCUCAGUGCAACAAAGAACAGAGUAGAGAGCUCUGGAGUGGGAGCUUAUCCUGGGUCUACCUCUCUAGGCCUUGGUUUCCCCACCUGCUCCAUGCUCAUUGCUGUUCGGGCCCCUCCAGCUCACAGUGGGAGGCUCUGGUAGGCUCUGUACAGCACUGGCUUCUGGCUGGUUUAGCCCAGGCGCCGAGAGGCAGGUUAUCUGGGAUUAAACAGCUCAGGCCCCCAUGGCCCAGGCUGGAAUUCCAGGCCUCUUUGAUUGUGCUGAGCAGCCUCUCCCAAUCUUGUAAAUUGUUUGGCUUGGCCUCACGGAGCAACCUUUGUUAUUGCAAAAUCUCAUGUUUCCAUAAAGCCCAGGGAAAGAAGAGGCUUUGGCGGCAGGUUCCAGCGACUGUCUGAAUUCUGUUCUUGUGAGGCUCCCAGCUGUGGGGACGCCAGCCCGGGGCUGAGCGGCAGGGUGGAGGCCGUGGCCCUGGCCAGGUGGCCCAAGCCUGUGUGGGCACCAGCCAGCCGCAGCCUGGUCACCAGUCAACAUCUGAGAUGAACCAGAACUGCCACAGAGAUGCCCAAGGGCCAGACGGGGUGAGACUGAGAUGAGGAAGCCGGGGGAGGUGUUCCCAUGGUCACAGGCCUGGGACACUCCACAGACCCUGUCCAAGGGCUCUCAGGCAGAUCGGGACCAGCCAAGCCCUGGUUCCUUUGGAAGAGGAGAAAGGAAGGGAAACUCCAGCUUCCAGAGCUUGGAUUCAUAAACCUCCUGCCAGGCCUGGGCCUUUACAAACAUUUCCUCAUGAGCACCACCAGCCCACCAUGAGCAAGGCACUAUUAUUUUUGCACUGUUACAGCUGAGGAUAGGAAGGAUCAGAGAGGUUAAGUACCCUGUCCAGGGUCACACAGCUGGUCAGUAGAAGAUGUUGUCUGCGCUGGGUUGGAUUUCCAAACCCUUCAGAAUCAUUUAUGCCAACAUUGCUUUCUCAGUUGGAGAAAGCCAGGUUUCAACUUGGUGUCCAGGAGCUGCCUCUGCCUCAGUCUCUCCACCCUGGAUCCAGGCCCCAUGAGGGACCAGGCCCUCUGCGGUUGGGUUUGCUGACAUCCUGCUCUAGGUCCCCCAGAAUGCCACGCCGGGUACUGGAGCCCAGGCCAAGAGAGAGGAUGGGCUGCCUUCUGCCCCAGGGCACCAUGGGAAUAUCUGGGAGCACUGCUUGCAAAGAUGGAUCCCCAGAACCCUGGCUUGCUAGAGCGACCUUCUAGGACCAGCAGCAUGAGCCUCAGUUACUGAUGAGAAAAUGGAGGUUCUGAGGGUCCGGUGAGUUGCUCAAGGCCCCUGCGUAGUGAGCCUCCUUGCCACCUUCAUGUUUCAUUUCAAUGUGACAGUUACAGAUUUGCAGUCAGACUCUUGGGUCUGCCUCCUGUCUGUGCCCCCUUGGACAAAACACUUUCCUUUUGUAAGCCUCAAUUUCCUCGUCUUUGAAACGGGGCCCACAGUUCCUCCCUUUUAGGGACCUGGGAUGGUUGGUCAGUGGAGGCCAUAUAACUAACUGAUUUACCACAAAGCCUGGCACACAGUAGGGCCUCUGCUUUGCAGUCCUCACCGCCUGCCCCCACUAGCGGUCAGUACCUAUAGUUUGAUAUUUCACUGAGACACAGCAGUCACCGCUGCUGUAUCUUAAGCACCUGCCGUGUGCAAGGUGCUCCGCUAGGCACUUGGUAUCAUCAUCCGUGACAGUAACCACAACCGCUGUUUUGAGCCGCUCGUUGGGCGCAAUUCUGUGCACUUCAGAAACAUCUCAAUGGCUGCAAUGUGGGUGCUGUCAUCACCACACCCAUCUCACAAACGAAGAAACUGAGGCUGGAAAGUGACUUGCCCAAGGCAAAAGGCUAGCACCUUUGGUCAGUAGAGCGGAGGUCCUGUCCUUCUGAGCCAGCUCGGGGACCCUGGGGCAGAGCCUGGCCUGCCAGGAGAGGAGGGAGGGAGCAGUGAGGAAGGUUGGCGAGGGGGUUGGGUGCAGAUGGGCAAAAAUGGGAACCUGCAGGCUGCCAGGUGCCUCCCAGGGUGGAGUCAAUAGGGCUGAGGACCCACAAACUGUCUUGGCCAAGGCCCCGACCUGGACUCUGGAGUAUGGCGGUCAGCGCAGGAUGGGUCUGUGCCACAGACAUAGGGACCGGUCUGCAUGGGACUCUGCCCUUGACAACGGGGGCUCACAGUCCCUAGGUGAGCUGGCUUCACUGGGCAGAGUCCCUCGGUCCUCUAGCUCUAGAUACUCAGCCAUUCCUCCUAGUACCCCCCUCUCAGUACUCACUGGUGCCAUCUUGUCCAAGACUCACUGUCUCCUGCCUGGACUUAGGCAGUAGCCAACAAUCUCUCUGACUCCAUUCUCUGGCCCACUGAGCCAUCCUUCACAUGGAGCCAAAGGAUCUGUGUGAAAUCCACAUCCAACAGCAUCGCUCUCCCGCUCAAGACCCUCCUGUGGCUCCCUAUUUACUUUCAGGCUAAAGUCUGGAUUCCACCUGCCAUCUUGCCCCUUCUCCUGCCAAAGGCCACCCUAGGCUUGCAUAGCCUCUCAACUUUUCUGAAGGUACCCUUAUACUCUCUGUUUUCUUUUCCUGGACUUCUCUCUUGCUCCUUUUUAUCUCUGAGGACCCAGAACAUUUGUCUCCUCUUCCUGGAAGCCUUCUCUGAGCCCCAGUCUGGGUCCCUGCUUCCUUUGUGCUUCCUGCCCAUCACAGCCCUGGUCCCAAUGAAGUGACACUGUCUAUCUGUGCCUCUGUCACUGCCAGGAGCUCCCAGAGAGUCAGGUUUGGUUCUGCCUUGGCUCAGUGUCUCCAGUGUGACCCACGACAGGGUCCAGCCCAGAGGGGGUCUCCACGCCUGAAGUCGCAUAUGUGGUUCCAACAGGCCUGGCUUGGAGAGCCAGCCCGGGAGGCAGGCAGCGGCUGGUGCCUCUUGAGCUCCCCCGGGACACCUGGAGCAGUCUGGCCACGUCUGCAACUUGGCACUGAUGUUUGAUUAAUAAGCAUAUUUGGUACUUGCCUCGUACCUCUCAUCUCCAACCCUCUGAACGCGUCCCCAACUAUAAUUAAUUCUCCCCACACCCCAAUGAAGCUGCUCUUCCCACAGCAGAUAAUGAUGUGCGAAGUCCUUUCAGUGAAGGUGUUGUGAUUAAUUCCACUGUGUAAUUAGGAUCGUCUCUUCCCGCCUCCCAGGCCCCUUCCAGUUCUCCCCCUCCCUCCCCCAGGCCAACAGGUGGACUCAAGGACUUCAGCAUGGAGCACUGGUUUAUUAUUGUUACCAAGCCACACAUGAGCUUGCUGCCUCAACAGCUUGGCUUGUCCUUGGAAAAUAUAAUGGGAUAAUUUUUGCAGAAAUGACAGAGGCAGCAGAGGAGCAGUGAGUGGAGCGCAGCCACACUGGAACCUGGUCUCUGCAAGCUUGGGGAGUGAACUGAGGUUGGGAAGGGCCCUGGGAAAUCACAACUUUAGAAAGCUCUCCCUCCUUCAGGAAGCCUCCUUUGAUUAGUCUGCUCAGAUUGGCCUCUCACUUUUCUGUUUCCCUCUGGCCUUUAGAGCAGAGGCCCCUGUUUUAAUAGAUGAUUGCUUGGUAUUGGCCUGGCCUUCCCAAAGACACUGAGAGUCCCCGCAUCAGAUUCAAGUUUCCAUGUCUUUGCAUCCUGCGGGGUGAGCGGAGGACUUUGCAUCCAGUAGAUGGGUAUGUGUGGAUGGGUAGAUGGAUGCAGCAUGAGUGAACAGAUGGUAGAUGGGGGGAUGGAUGGAUAGAUGGGUAGGGAAUAGGUGAAUGGAUAGAUGGGUGAAUGGGUGGAUAAAUGGAUGGAUGGAUGGAUGGGUAGGUAAUUGGUGGAUGGAUGGAUGGAUGGGUGAGUGGGUGGGUGAGUGAAUGGGUGGGAUGGCUAGAUGGAUAGACAAUGGGUAGAUGGGCAGAUGGGUAGAGGGUUGAGUAAGUGAAUGGGUGGGCCGGUGGAUGGGUGAGUAGAUGAUGGGCGGAUGGAUGAUGGGUGAACAAGUUUACGGCAGGAUGACUAUACAAAUGAGUGGUUGGGUAGAUGGAGGGCUACGUGGACAACUGAAGG
rnacentral:lncRNA from 10 species